AAAUUAUGGUGCGGGCACUUGAGAAGUAACUAAUUAAAAUUCUCCCGGGUUUCAUAAAACAAAUCACCAUCUUUUUGUUGCCAAGUUUGAAUUUCUCUUCUCAACUU